rnacentral:rRNA from 1 species
GAACGCUGGCGGCGUGCCUAAUACAUGCAAGUCGAGCGAACAGAUAAGGAGCUUGCUCCUUUGACGUUAGCGGCGGACGGGUGAGUAACACGUGGGUAACCUACCUAUAAGACUGGAAUAACUCCGGGAAACCGGGGCUAAUGCCGGAUAACAUUUAGAACCGCAUGGUUCUAAAGUGAAAGAUGGUUUUGCUAUCACUUAUAGAUGGACCCGCGCCGUAUUAGCUAGUUGGUAAGGUAACGGCUUACCAAGGCAACGAUACGUAGCCGACCUGAGAGGGUGAUCGGCCACACUGGAACUGAGACACGGUCCAGACUCCUACGGGAGGCAGCAGUAGGGAAUCUUCCGCAAUGGGCGAAAGCCUGACGGAGCAACGCCGCGUGAGUGAUGAAGGUCUUCGGAUCGUAAAACUCUGUUAUUAGGGAAGAACAAAUGUGUAAGUAACUGUGCACGUCUUGACGGUACCUAAUCAGAAAGCCACGGCUAACUACGUGCCAGCAGCCGCGGUAAUACGUAGGUGGCAAGCGUUAUCCGGAAUUAUUGGGCGUAAAGCGCGCGUAGGCGGUUUCUUAAGUCUGAUGUGAAAGCCCACGGCUCAACCGUGGAGGGUCAUUGGAAACUGGGAAACUUGAGUGCAGAAGAGGAAAGUGGAAUUCCAUGUGUAGCGGUGAAAUGCGCAGAGAUAUGGAGGAACACCAGUGGCGAAGGCGACUUUCUGGUCUGUAACUGACGCUGAUGUGCGAAAGCGUGGGGAUCAAACAGGAUUAGAUACCCUGGUAGUCCACGCCGUAAACGAUGAGUGCUAAGUGUUAGGGGGUUUCCGCCCCUUAAUGCUGCAGCUAACGCAUUAAGCACUCCGCCCGGGGAGUACAACCGCAAGGUUGAAACUCAAAGGAAUUGACGGGGACCCGCACAAGCGGUGGAACAUGUGGUUUAAUUCGAAGCAACGCGAAGAACCUUACCAAAUCUUGACAUCCUUUGACAACUCUAUUAAUCGCGGGAAACCCGGAAGAGGGGGAAGCCCACCCUCCGCCCUUAUUUGGGACACCGCCCAGUGA